AAACGACCUCGGCAACGGAAUCUCGGCCUCGCAUCGAUGAAGAACGUAGCGAAAUGCGAUACUUGGUGUGAAUUGCAGAAUCCCGUGAACCAUCGAGUCUUUGAACGCAAGUUGCCCGAAGCCACUAGGUCGAGGGCACGUCUGCCUGGGCGUCACG
rnacentral:rRNA from 1 species